GGGAGGGCAGAAGGACUAGAGAAGAGGCUCUUUUGACUGAGAAGCUUGGCUCCAUUUCAGAACCCAGAGCUGCGUCUUCUGUGAGCCCAAUAAGGAGGAAGAAUGGAGAAAUUCCUGGGAGUGUCUUUGGUGAUUCUAUGGCUUCAACUGGCCAGGGUGAACAGCCAAGUAGAACAGAAUCCUGAGGCCCUGACCAUCCAGGAGGGUGAAAAUGCCACCAUGAACUGCAGCUAUAAAGCUAGUAUAAACAACUUACAGUGGUAUAGACAAGAUUCAGGUAGAGGCCUUGUCCAAUUAAUUUUAAUACAUUCAAAUGAGAAAGAGAAAACUAAUGGAAGACUAAGAGCCACGCUAGAUACCUCCACCAAAAGCAGCUUCCUGUUCAUCACCGCUUCCCAGGCUGCAGACACUGCUGCUUACUUCUGUGCGAUAGAUACACGGUGCUUACCAGGCACCUGCAGCUCUUACACAAACUGCCAGAGCUGCUGCUUAGAUCCCCUAACAGUGGGUAGAGUUGGUGGUUACCUCUUCCCGCAAAGGAGAGUCAACCAACAAUUGGCAACAUGAAAGGGGGUGCCCUCUUAAAUCUGUGAUUUUUUUUUUUAAAGUACCUUGGACUGUGGCAAAGGGCACUAGAUUUGGAGUGAAAAACUAAAAUGCCAGGUUCACUUCUGCCAAUGCUGGACAUACAACCAUAGACACAUCAUAACCAGAAGUGAAGUAUUUGGAUUGAUGAGCCCAAAAGAUCCUUCCAACUCUAAUUUUCUCAGCAAAAGAAAUAAGCACUGGAGACUUGCUGAGGAUGAGGAGGGACUGCUCAGUAUUUUAUGUGCAGCCCCUCAAGUCCUAGAUGGAUCUUUGAGAUGUAUGAUAUGAUUCUUACAUUCCUCUAUAGGAAACAAUAUUAGAAUUCAUCAAGCAUUGGAAUUAGGAGGGAUCUUAGGACUCUUUCAACCAAACUUUUCAUUUUACAGCUGAAAGUGGAAACGUGUUGUGGAAAGAACCAGAAAUCUGGAGCAAUAGAGACAAAGAUCUGAAUCUGUUU